rnacentral:rRNA from 1 species
GACGAACGCUGGCGGCGUGCCUAAUACAUGCAAGUCGAGCGGAUCUUCAUUAGCUUGCUUUUGAAGAUCAGCGGCGGACGGGUGAGCAACACGUGGGCAACCUGCCUGUAAGACUGGGAUAACUUCGGGAAACCGGAGCUAAUACCGGAUAAUCCUUUUCCUCUCAUGAGGAAAAGCUGAAAGACGGUUUCGGCUGUCACUUACAGAUGGGCCCGCGGCGCAUUAGCUAGUUGGUGAGGUAACGGCUCACCAAGGCGACGAUGCGUAGCCGACCUGGGAGGGUGAUCGGCCACACUGGGACUGAGACACGGCCCAGACUCCUACGGGAGGCAGCAGUAGGGAAUCUUCCGCAAUGGACGAAAGUCUGACGGAGCAACGCCGCGUGAGCGAUGAAGGCCUUCGGGUCGUAAAGCUCUGUUGUCAGGGAAGAACAAGUAUCGGAGUAACUGCCGGUACCUUGACGGUACCUGACCAGAAAGCCACGGCUAACUACGUGCCAGCAGCCGCCGUAAGAC